rnacentral:tRNA from 1 species
GGUGGGGUAUCCAAGCGGCCAACGGAUGCUGACUGUAAAUCAGCCGGGUCUAUCCCUUCACAGGUUCGAAUCCUGUCCCCACCACCA